UCAAGGCUACGUGAGGGGAGCUACGGAGCUGGCAAGAAUCCUUUCUCUCUCUGUGGGAUGGCUGAAAGCCAAGGGACCCCAAAGCCAAUGAAUGUGACCUCCAAUGACCACCUGUUUAUAGGAGCCUAUUAUAUAAGGGUAACUGUCCCAAACUACCUUGGGUGAGAGUGGGAACCAUCUGGGAGGUCAAAACAGGUUUUCUC